CAACACCAGAUUGGAGAGAGAAGGAUUCAAACUUCCGGUCGUGUGUCAUGGCGGCGCGGUGGAGUAUACUUGAAGCGAAAAAGCUAAACCCUGCUACUUAUGCUUUUUCGCUGUGAGGUUUUGCGGUGUCUUGGGCUGGUUAGUGUGCUGCAUUAGACGAAGCGGUUCGGAUUUGGGACUGCCAGGCGGGGGAGCGCCUGCAGUUUGCAUCCGCCUGACCAUGGCGGCACACAAGCCCGUGGAGUGGGUCCAGGCCGUAAUUAACCGAUUCGACGAGCAGCUUCCUAUUAAGACAGGACAGCAGAACACUCACACCAAAGUCAGCACAGAGCACAAUAAGGAAUGCUUGAUCAACAUCUCCAAAUACAAGUUUUCCCUUGUCAUCAAUGGCCUGACCAACAUCCUCAAAAAUGUUAACAAUAUGCGGAUAAUUGGGGAAGCUGCCGAAAAGAACCUCUACCUCUCGCAGCUUAUCAUCCUUGACACUCUGGAGAAGUGCUUGGCAGGGCAAACCAAGGACUGCUUGCGUCUAGAUGAGGCCAUGCUGGUGAAGCAGUUGCUCCCUGAGAUCUGCCACUUCCUGCACUCAUGUCGUGAGGGCCAGCAGCAUGCCACCCAGCUACGCAGCUCUGCCUCAGCCGUGCUCUUCUCUCUUAGCUGCAACAACUUCAAUGCCGUCUUUAGCCGCAUCUCCACAAGAUUACAGGAGCUUACAGUAUGCACAGAGGACACCGUAGAUGUUCAUGACAUAGAGCUUAUUCAGUACAUCAAUGUUGACUGCUCCAAGUUAAAGAGAUUACUGCAAGAAACUGUACUAAAAUUUAAAGCACUGAAGAAGCCUGCACAGCUUGCUGUGAUCAACAGUUUGGAGAAGGCUUUUUGGAACUGGGUGGAGUAUUAUCCUGAUGAAUUUACUAUGCUCUACCAGAGACCGCAGGCUGAUAUGGCGGACUCUGCAGAGAAGCUGUUUGACCUGGUAGACAGUUUUGCAGAGAGUGCUAAGAGGAAAGCUGCUGUGUGGCCACUGCAAAUCAUCCUUCUCAUUCUCUGUCCUGAGAUCACACAGAGCAUCUCUAAAGAAGUGGUGGAAGAGAGCAAGGCUAACAAGAAGUUGUUUUUGGAGAGUCUUAGGAAGGCCCUGGCUGGUCACAGUAGCAGCAAGCAGUUGACUGAGAGUGCAGCCAUCGCCUGUGUAAAACUGUCUAAAGCCUGCACAUACAUUAACUGGGAGGAUCAUUCUGUCAUCUUCCUCCUGGUGCAGUCUAUAGUAAUGGACCUCAAAGCUCUCCUGUUCAACCCCACUAAGCCGUUCUCCAGGGGCACCGGGUGCCAGAGUGCUGACGUAGACCUGAUGAUCGACUGCUUUGUGUCCUGCUUCCGCAUCAACCCACACAACAACCAGCACUUCAAGGUCUGUCUGGCUUCCACCUCCCCACCAACCUUCCAUUUUGUCUUGGUCAACUCUCUGCACAAAAUCAUUACUAAUUCUCACUUGGAUUGGUGGCCAAAGAUUGACACAAUCUACUGCUACUCUGGAGAACUGCGUGCCAUGUUUGCCGACACACAGACCCGAGUCGUCCAGAGCCUUAGUGCCCACGCACCACUAAGGAUGACACCUAGUUUGACAUUCAAAGAGAAGAUGACAACCAGCCUGAAGUUUAAAGAAAAGUCUGCAGAUCUGGACUCACGCUCUCUUCUUCUGGCUUUGGUCAAACUCAUCCAUGCUGACCCCAAACUAAUGCUACAUAAUCCUGGGAAGCAGGGCCAGGAGAUCCAGAACAGCACAGCUGAACUCAUCAUAGGCCUGGUCCAGCUUGUUCCCCUGACCCAUACUUCAGAGCUCUCUCAGGAGGCCAUGGAGGCACUUUUGGUGUUGCAUCAACCUGAGACCAUUGAGCUGUGGAACCCUGAUACACCAAUUGAGACCUUCUGGGACAUCAGCUCUCAGGUCCUGUUUCUUAUCUGUAAGAAGUUGAUUGGCCACCAGAUGAUCAACAGCACAGAGAUCUUGAAGUGGCUGAGGGAGAUUCUCAUCUGCAGGAACAAGUUUCUCCUGAAGAACAAAGAAAGUGCCACACAGGGGAGUCUAAUUCCCAUCAGCAGACAAGCGCAGACCAAGCUGGAAGUGUGCCUGUAUUCAUUUCUGUGGAGCCCAGACGCCGAGGCCGUGCUGGUGGCCAUGUCCUGCUUCCGGCACCUGUGUGAGGAGGCGGACAUCCGCUGCAGUGUGGAUGAGCUGCCUGUACACACAGUUCUGCCCAACUACAACACUUUCAUGGAGUUUGCCUCCGUCAGCAACAUGAUGGCCACAGGUCGCUCUACCCUACAGAAGAGAGUGAUGGCACUGUUGAGGAGGAUAGAACAUCCUACUGCUGGCAACAUAGAGGCAUGGGAGGACACACAUGCUAAAUGGGAACAAGCAACAAAACAAAUACUAAACCAUCCAAAGAACAAAGUUGAAGAUGGCCAGGAGUGGAUCAACAUGACAGGCUUCCUGUGUGCUCUGGGUGGAGUGUGUCUGCAGCAGCGCAGUACUCCCAGCCUUGGUACCUACAGCCCACCCAUGGGGCCAAUGAGUGAGCGCAAGGGCUCCAUGAUCUCCAUGGGCUCGUGUGAAGUGAACAGUGAGACUCCCCUCAGCAGGUUCCUGGAAAGGCUGCUGUCCCUCAUGGUGUGUACACAUGAGAAGGUGGGCUUGCACAUCCGCACCAAUGUUAAAGAUCUGCUGGGACUGGAGCUGAGUCCGGCCCUCUAUUCCAUGCUGUUCACCAAACUGCGCAACAGCAUUGGACGUUUCUUUGACACCCAGGGGCCGGUUCCCAUAAAUGACACAAAUACAUUAUUUGUGGAGCAGACUAUUGCCAUCAUGAAGAACCUUCUGGACAGCCACACUGAGGGCAGCUCUGAGCACCUUGGUCAGGCCAGCAUUGAGACAAUGAUGCUCAACUUGGUCAGAUAUGUGCGCAUUUUAGGGAAUGGGGUUCAUGCAAUACAGAUUAAGACUAAACUUUGUCAACUCGUGGAGGUUAUGAUGGAACGCAGAGAUGAUCUCUCCUUCUGCCAAGAAAUGAAAUUCAGGAAUAAGAUGGUAGAGUACUUGACUGACUGGGUGAUGGGCACUUCCAAUCAAGCAGCAGAUGAUGAUGUCAAAUAUCUCACACGGGACCUUGAUCAGGCCAGUAUGGAGGCAGUGGUGUCUCUGCUGGCUGGUUUACCACUACAGCCUGAAGAAGGAGAUGGAGUGGAGCUGAUGGAGGCCAAGUCUCAGCUUUUUCUUAAGUACUUCACUCUGUUCAUGAACCUUCUGAAUGACUGCAGUGAGGUGGAGGAAGAUGGGCAGCAGGUAGGCGAAAGAAAGCGGGGCAUGUCCCGACGUCUCGCCUCACUACGCCACUGCACUGUGCUUGCCAUGUCCAACCUGCUCAAUGCCAACGUGGACAGCGGCCUCAUGCACUCUAUAGGACUGGGCUACCAUAAAGACCUACAGACCAGGGCUACAUUCAUGGAGGUGUUGACUAAGAUCCUGCAGCAAGGCACGGAGUUUGACACUCUGGCCGAGACUGUUCUGGCUGACCGCUUUGAGAGGCUGGUGGAGCUUGUCACCAUGAUGGGGGAUCAGGGGGAGCUUCCCAUUGCCAUGGCACUGGCCAAUGUGGUGCCCUGCUCCCAGUGGGAUGAGCUGGCCAGGGUGUUGGUGACGCUGUUUGACUCCAGGCACCUGCUCUACCAGCUGCUCUGGAAUAUGUUCUCUAAAGAGGUGGAGCUGGCUGACUCCAUGCAGACCCUCUUUAGAGGCAACAGUUUGGCUAGCAAGAUCAUGACCUUCUGCUUCAAGGUGUAUGGAGCUGCUUAUCUUCAGAAGCUUCUUGAGCCUCUGAUGCGAGGCGUCAUCACAUCUCCUGAGUGGCAGCACAUCAGCUUUGAGGUUGACCCCACCAGAUUGGAACCUACUGAAAACCUGGAGGAGAACCAGCGGAACCUGCUGCAGAUCACAGACCGUUUCUUUCUGGCCAUCAUUAACUCCUCCAGCGAGUUUCCUCCUCAGCUGCGAAGCGUAUGCCACUGUUUGUACCAGGCUACUUGCCACUCCCUACUGAAUAAAGCCACUGUUAAAGAAAAAAAGGAAAACAAAAAAUCCGUGGUGAGCCAGCGUUUUCCCCAGAACAGCAUCGGUGCCGUUGGCAGUGCCAUGUUCCUGCGCUUCAUCAACCCUGCCAUAGUCUCUCCAUACGAGGCUGGCAUCUUGGAUAAGAAGCCUCCUCCUCGGAUUGAGCGGGGCCUCAAACUCAUGUCUAAGAUUCUCCAGAGUAUUGCCAAUCAUGUUCUCUUUACCAAGGAAGAGCAUAUGAGGUCAUUUAACGAUUUUGUGAAAAACAACUUUGAGGCAGCAAGGAGAUUUUUCCUGGAUAUAGCAUCUGAUUCCCCUCCUAGCGAUUCAGUCAAUCAUAGCUUGUCCUUCAUCAGUGAUGGUAAUGUGCUCGCCCUGCACCGUCUACUCUGGAACAACCAGGAGAGGAUUGGGCAGUAUUUAUCCAGCAACAGGGACCACAAGGCUGUUGGUAGAAGACCCUUUGAUAAAAUGGCUACACUCCUGGCGUAUCUUGGCCCCCCUGAGCACAAACCUGUAGCAGACACUCACUGGUCCAGUCUCAACCUCACCAGUUCCAAAUUUGAGGAGUUUAUGACCAGGCACCAGGUCCAUGAAAAAGAAGAAUUCAAAGCUCUGAAGACACUUAAUAUCUUUUACCAGGCAGGAACAUCUAAGAAUGGCAACCCCGUCUUCUAUUACAUUGCUCGAAGGUUCAAAACAGGGCAGAUCAAUGGUGACCUUCUAAUCUACCAUGUACUACUCACACUCAAACCCUACUAUGCUAAACACUAUGAGAUAGUUGUGGACCUCACCCAUGUUGGCCCCAGCAACCGCUUCAAGACUGACUUCCUCUCCAAGUGGUUUGUAGUAUUUCCAAACUUUGCCUAUGAAAAUGUGGCUGCGGUCUUUAUCUAUAACUGCAACACCUGGGUGCGGGAAUACACCAAAUACCAUGAGCGGCUGCUAACUGGUCUAAAAGGCAGUAAGAAGCUCUUGUUUAUUGACUCGCCUGCCCGUCUUGCCGAAUAUGUGGAACCUGACCAGCAGAAGCUUCCUGCUUCAACCCUGGCCCUGGAGGAGGACCUCAAAGUUUUCCAUAAUGCACUUAAGCUUGCUCACAAAGACACAAAAGUCUCCAUUAAGGUUGGCUCCACAGCCGUACAAGUCACCUCAGCUGAGCGUACCCGUGUUCUGGGCCAGUCAGUCUUCCUCAAUGAUAUCUACUAUGCCUCCGAGAUUGAAGAGAUCUGCCUUGUUGAUGAAAACCAGUUCACACUGACUAUCGCCAACCAAGGCACACCCCUCACUUUUAUGCACCAGGAAUGUGAUGCCAUAGUGCAGUCCAUCAUCCAUAUCCGUACACGCUGGGAGCUCUCUCAGCCUGACUCUAUCCCCCAACACACCAAAAUCAGGCCUAAAGAUGUGCCUGGAACCUUACUCAACAUUGCCCUCCUCAACUUGGGCAGUUCUGACCCCAGCCUGAGGUCAGCAGCAUACAACCUUCUGUGUGCCUUAACCUGCACCUUCAACCUCAAGAUUGAAGGUCAGCUCCUGGAAACAUCUGGCUUAUGCAUCCCAGCCAACAACACCCUUUUUAUUGUGUCCAUCAGUAAGACUUUAGCUGCCAAUGAACCCCACCUCACCCUGGAGUUUCUGGAAGAAUGCAUCAGUGGUUUCAGCAAGUCAAGUAUUGAACUGAAGCACCUGUGUCUGGAAUACAUGACUCCUUGGUUGCGCAACCUGGUGCGCUUCUGUAAGCACAAUGAUGAUGCCAAGCGGCAACGUGUAACUGCCAUUCUGGAUAAGCUGAUCACCAUGACCAUCAAUGAGAAACAGAUGUAUCCAUCAAUUCAGGCUAAGAUCUGGGGCAGCCUGGGCCAGAUAUCAGACCUGCUAGAUGUUGUGUUGGAUAGUUUCAUAAAGACCAGCGCUACUGGGGGCCUGGGAUCAAUCAAAGCUGAAGUAAUGGCUGAUACAGCUGUAGCUCUGGCAUCUGGAAAUGUUAAAUUGGUUUCAAGCAAGGUGAUUGGCCGAAUGUGCAAGAUAAUUGACAAGACGUGCCUGUCUCCCACUCCUACUCUGGAGCAGCACCUGAUGUGGGAUGAUAUCGCCAUCCUGGCACGCUACAUGCUCAUGCUCUCCUUUAAUAACUCUCUGGAUGUGGCGGCCCACUUGCCUUACCUCUUCCACGUGGUCACUCUGCUGGUGGCUACAGGACCGCUGUCCCUCAGAGCCUCCACCCAUGGCCUGGUCAUUAACAUCAUCCACUCGCUGUGUACCUGUUCCCAGCUCAACUUCAGCGAGGAGACUAAACAGGUGCUGCGACUGAGUCUCACUGAAUUCUCCUUGCCCAAGUUCUACCUGCUGUUUGGCAUCAGUAAGGUCAAAUCAGCAGCGGUCAUAGCGUUCCGCUCCAGCUACAGAGAUCGCUCGUUCUCUCCAGGCUCUUACGAGAGGGAGACUUUUGCCCUGUCCUCCCUAGAGACAGUCACUGAAGCCCUGCUGGAAAUUAUGGAGGCUUGUAUGAGGGACAUUCCUGGAUGCAAAUGGUUAGACCAGUGGACAGAGUUAGCUCAGAAAUUUGCUUUCCAGUAUAACCCGUCUCUGCAGCCACGGGCACUGGUAGUGUUUGGCUGCAUCAGUAAACGUGUAACUCAUGGUCAGAUCAAACAGAUCAUCCGGAUCCUCAGCAAGGCCAGUCCUCUGCUCAGCAUUGACCGGGGGCUGGAGAGCUGCUUAAAGGGGCCGGAUAAUUACAACAGUCAGGUUCUCAUUGAAGCCACUGUCAUCGCUCUCACCAAGCUACAACCCCUCCUCAGUCAGGACUCUCCCAUGCACAAGGCUCUGUUCUGGGUGGCAGUAGCAGUGCUGCAGCUGGAUGAGGUAAAUCUGUACUCAGCUGGGACGGCACUGCUGGAGCAGAACCUGCAUACACUCGACAGCCUCCGGGUGUUUAAUGACAAGAGUCCUGAGGAGGUGUUUAUGGAGAUUCGGAAGCCUCUAGAAUGGGAUUGUAAACAAAUGGACCAUUUUGUUGGCCUUAACUUUAACUCCAACUUCAAUUUUGCACUAGUGGGACAUCUGCUGAAAGGUUACAGACACCCAUCCUCGACCACAGUGGCAAGAACGGUGCGUAUCCUCCACACACUCCUGGGUCUGGUGGGAAAACACCGCAACUGUGACAAAUUCGAGGUGAACACUCAGAGUGUGGCCUACCUGGCAGCUCUGCUUACGGUGUCAGAGGAGGUGCGCAGCCGCUGCAGUCUCAAACACAGGAAGUCUUUGCUUCUUUCAGAUGUUACCAUGGAGAACUUUCCUGUGGACACUUACUCAGUUUAUCACCCUGAGCCUGGAUGCAGGCCACUAAAGGAGAGUCAGCCAUGGACAUCGCCCAAAGUAUCAGAACGCUACUUGGCAGCGUAUUAUCCCACAAUGGGGCAGACCAGCCCACGCACACGCAAGUCCAUGAGCGUCGAUAUGGGGCAGCCCUCACAAGCCAAUGCCAAGAAGCUACUGGGCACCAGGAAGAGUUUUGACCAUCUAAUAUCAGACUCCAAAGCACCAAAGAGACCAGAGAUGGAAUCGGGCAUCACCACUCCUCCGAAGAUCAGGCGGGUGGCUGAGAACGACUAUGACAUUGAGACACAAAGAAUAGCCAACUCCCAUUUGCGCAAGGUCUCUGUGUCUGAGUCUAACGUGCUGCUGGAUGAGGAGGUGCUCACUGACCCCAAGAUCCAAAUGCUGCUCCUUACUGUGCUGGCCACACAAGUGAAGUACUCAACUGAUGAGUUCCACCAGAGGAUUCUCUACGAGUAUUUGGCUGAAGCCAGUGUGGUCUUUCCAAAGGUGUUCCCAGUGGUGCACAAUCUGCUGGACUCCAAGAUCAGCACGCUGCUGUCCAUGUGCCAGGACCCCAACCUCCUGAACCCUGUCCACGGCAUCGUCCAGAGCGUGGUCUACCACGAGGAGUCUCCCCCUCAGUACCAGCCCUCCUGUCUGCAGAGCUUCGGUUUUAAUGGACUUUGGAGGUUUGCCGGCCCCUUCUCUAAGCAAACCCAAAUCCCAGAUUAUGCUGAACUCGUGGUCAAGUUCCUGGAUGCUCUGAUUGAUACCUACCUUCCGGGCAUCGAAGAGGAAGGAGGCGAGGAGUCCCAGCGGACGCCAACCUCUCCAUAUCCACCCAUCGUUCAGAGCCAGCUGAGCAUCACUGCCAACCUCAACUUGUCCAACUCCAUGACCUCGUUGGCGACCUCGCAGCACUCACCAGAGGGCCCCAUAGUUUAUAGACGCUCCCCAACUUUGUCCCAUGCCAGGACAGCAGAAGAGAUGCCACCGAAAACUGCUGGUACAAGCCUAAACUAUAGAGCUGUGGUGGGCAAUUAAUGUCCAGUUCUAUAGUUUGCACACUUUGCCUCUCUGCCUUGCUCUAAGUCAGCUGUGUUCCCACCACACCUCGUCUUCCCAGGUAUUGACAAGGAGAACGUGGAGCUGUCUCCCACCUCCAGCCUGUGCAGCAGUGGCAGAGCACGUCACGGUUCAGCCAGCCAGGUGCAGAAACAGCGAAGCACUGGCAGCUUCAAACGCACCAGCAUCAAGAAGAUUGUCUGAGCACGCUCUGAGACCUGACUCGGCAUUCAGGAGGCUGCAUUAACCAUCCUUCAUAAACUGUUUCCGUUCCAUGUUCUCCAGUCUAAGAUGGUUCCUGAGUAAGAGAACUGCUUUAGUUUGACCUUAGUUUGGUGUGGAAGCCAGAAGACUAGCGUUUACCUGUGCGGGAUGUUUGCAUGAGCGGAGUGUGGCCUCAGCACUGCUGUUUAGAAUCAGUCAAGAUGCUUUUACAGGUGCAUGAAGAGAAAAAGUUGUAAACCUGUAGUUCAUAUCCUUUUCCACCCCACUGACCUUUCAGCUUCCACUCUGAAAGUCAGGGGAACAAGAAGGAACCCACGUGGUUAUUAAGACAGCGUCUGCUAAUUUAAUACUUAGUAUCAGCAGAAGAUUAUACAGACUGUAGAACGAGCUUGCUUUAAAAUGUUCUAAGAUUUUGGGGCUAUAUAUCUGAAGGCCUGUAAUGGAGGGUGAAGUCUGAAAAGACUAUAAAACCAGUGGCAGACUUAAAUAACCACUACAACACCUGACCAAACUGACUGUGGAGAACAAAGGCCUCAAUGUCAGGAUUUACCUGGGUCCAUCUGUCCUGGACGAUUCAAUCCGCAGAUCCUCAGAGACCCUGUUAUCAACAAGCUUGAAAUCCGGACUGCGAUCAGAUGUCACUCUGAUGACGAGCAGAUAUAUAUAUGGAAACGAUGUGUAUGAUGAUGACAACGAUGCUCACACAUUUUGGGUUGUUGUUUUGUCCAUUGUGUGCCUUUGUCAGGUCUACCAGCUGUGUAUAGUUUGUAAGAUAAGCUGAAGAAGGGGAAAACAGGUACUAAUUAUUGAGAAAUGUUCUUCAUGUUAUACAUAUGUCCAUACAUCGCUGCACUGUAAAAAAAAAAAAAAAAAAGGAAAAAAAAAAAUCAUAUCUUCAAAUAUAUAGGUAUCAUUACUUGCUGCAUUUACUGUACAUAUUUAUUCUGUGAAGUUAGCUAACUCAAUCAGUGAAGGUAUCCCUUAUAAUCACCAAUGUCUUUAUAACCAUCUGUCAUUUAAAUAAUAAUAUUGACAAGAACAAUAAUAUUGAUGAGUGCUAUAUGGUUAAAUUCCCAUAAUACUGAGCAUAGCAAAAUGACAUUUGGGAGCAAAAGUAAUUUCAAAUGAUUUUGCGAAUAUAUGGUAUUGUGUCUGUUUUUUUGUUUGUGUGCUUAAAGGACAUAAGACAGAAGGAGAUGGAGUUGACAUGGGGUGUGUGCUCUGCUGUUGGUACCCCUUCAGUCAGAAAGCAUUUAGCAAAGCGGUACAGAACUCCCUGGACACUGCGAGCGAGUCAUGGUGACAUAGAUUGCAAUAAGGAGAGUAGGACAUGUUUUCCUUCAUGACUGGUGAUCAUGUCUUAUUCGUAUGGCCUUUUUUCUUUUGCUUGUUACAUAUCAUACAUGAUCAUAUGAAAGGCUUUCUUCUAUAUGUGCAUACAUGUCUGUUGUCCCCACAUGAGGACAAACGUGCCAUUUAUUUACAUUUUCAACUACAAAUGCCACUACAGUGGAGAAUCCACAAUGCAUUAAGCGGAAAGGUCAAGGCCUGAGGAGGUUUGCUGAUUAUGUGCAAUAUUCUCUAACAUAUUCCUACAGCCCUUUCCCUACUCCUUUUUUUUUUUUUUUUUUUAAAGAGGAAAAGGUGAAAAUUAUUUUGCCAAUUUACCAUUGUAGUUUUUUUUUCCCUUCAAGGAGGUCUUUUCCUCUUGUUGACUGUUUUUAAAGGGAAAUUUAACACUAAAAAGGGCACCUACCAAAUGCAUUACCCAGUUCUUUUUUUAAGAAAACCAAAGUUAUUUGUUGAUUGAGAUUCGGUGGUAAAUUUAUUCAACCACUAUUCCCAUUUUCAACCACUCAACCUUGAACAAAUGGCUUUAAAUGGUUUGCUCAUGUCAUAUGAGUGUUGUUCAUUGUUAAUAACAGUGGCUCAAGCUUUGCUUUUGAAUUGGGACCAAACCUGUCUUGCAGUAAUUUUUUUUUUUUUUUUUUAUCUUUCUGUUUUCAUUGUCUAAACUUUAUAACUUCAGUAUUUUAUGCUUCUCAUGUGUUAUACCAGUGUCUAUAUAAAACUGCAGUCAUUUUAAAGGUGAUACAGUAUUACUCUUCUCAGUUGGUGAUUUUGCAGCGUUGUCCUUUUUCUCUCACUUGGUUGACAGAUUGGUAAUAUCAGUUGCAGGGUUACUUUUAAUACAUUAGAACAUGUCAGUUCCACACAGAGGACUGACAUGGGUAAGGAUGAGUCAGCUUAACCCUGUCAUAUUCCUUCUCUGUCCCUCAAGUUCAUUAAUCCCAGACAUUUAUUUGAUAGGACACAACUAAACUGAAUUCUCAGGAUCUACAGGAGUCUAAUAUCUAAAGCUAUUGAUGCAGGCAUGAUGGUUUUCUGCCUGCACAUCAGUUAAUUCGUAGCAUGCUUGCCCUUGAAAUGUGUAUGAACUAUGACGUUAGCAAACGUCUUACUCAUUUCCAUCCCAAUUUGUGGUUAAAAAUAAACAUUGAAAAUAAGUAACAAUGUGUAUUUUAUAAUGCAAAACUGUGUUGGUCUGAAGCAUUUACUGCGUUUUAAUUGCACCAAAUCAUCUGUAAACAGCACAUUAGUCAUCUGUAAAUAUUUUUGUGUAAAAUUGGAAGUUAUAUGAUUGUAAAUAAAACAUUGUAUUGCUUUUUUGUAAAGCAGUUAGUUGCUGUACAUGUAUAACAUGGCAAUUUAAUUAUACCUGUGUUCAUAAUAAAAGUUGUCCACUACCCUGUCACAGUGAUAUCAAA